rnacentral:ncRNA from 2 species
CAACCUCACCCCGUCCAUGGUCCCCGCAAGGGGAUAACAGGGAAUCCGGUAUGGGGGUGGUCCCCAAGUCCGGAGCUGCCCCCGCAACUGUAGGCGGUGAUGGGCGCUCAACGAGCCACUGGCGAGAAGCCGGGAAGGCGAGCGUUCAGGAUCCCCGCGAGCCAGGAGACCUACCGUGGAAGUGAUUGUGCA